rnacentral:tRNA from 1 species
GCCGGAGUGGUGGAAUUGGUAGACACAAGGGACUUAAAAUCCCUCGGAGCCUGGCUCCGUGCCGGUUCGAGUCCGGCCUCCGGCACCA